CUAUUCCUAGGGGCGCAGCAGUGAGGAAUAUUGGUCAAUGGACGAGAGUCUGAACCAGCCAAGUAGCGUGAAGGAUGACUGCCCUAUGGGUUGUAAACUUCUUUUAUAAAGGAAUAAAACGAGGCACGUGUGCCUUUUUGCAUGUACUUUAUGAAUAAGGAUCGGCUAACUCCGUGCCAGCAGCCGCGGUAAUACGGAGGAUCCGAGCGUUAUCCGGCUUUAUUGGGUUUAAAGGGAGCGUAGAUGGGUUGUUAAGUCAGUUGUGAAAGUUUGCGGCUCAACCGUAAAAUUGCAAUUGAUACUGG
rnacentral:rRNA from 1 species